UUCAUAACUCUCUACUUUUUUCCUUGGUAUUAAACCCAUACACAAUUGUUAAGGAAAACGUCUCUUGAGCAACUUUAUCCUCCACUUCACAAGUAACACUUUAAGCAUCUCCAUCAAUCCAUUUUAGUUGAAACUAAUCAUGUCUCCAGAAUAUCAAUACUCUACCAUUGUGAUGAUAAUCCAAAUUUGUCAUAUACUUCCAUACUCCAAAAAUAUAACUCACAAUAACAUGUAUUUUAUUCACCUUCACUUUGGUUUAUAACAAGGCUACUAAACCAACAUUCUCCCUUUGACAAAGGAGUAUUACCUCCUUUUGCUUGUUAGGGACAUUCAAGCCCCUAACAUUCCAGCAUAGUAUAUUAUCCACUAAGUAGAGGGGCCAAAACACUGCCACCCCCAUGUCGAACAAGACUUCGUUGCAAAUCUUCACUUGUUGCUCCCUCACAAAGCACAUUAAAAAGAUUUAGCAGUUUGUGAGGUUGCGGUCCAUCCUGUUACUGUAUCGUCUUGAGACACUUGUUUCCCUGCAUUUCUUUUUGAUUUCUUCACCAUUGCCUCCUUCCUAUGUUCAUUGAACCCAUCAGCUUUUACCACUUCUCUCAUUGGUGCCAUCUGUUGGUCAAUCAUGUCUCUGUUAACAACAGGUUUUUUUACAUUCUCCACUUGAGGCUUUUUCUUCCUGCAAUCUACCUCAUUGUGGCCAUAAUUCUGACAGAACUUGCACAGUACAGGCUUUCAAUCAUAUUGGACUUUCUGCUCUACAAGGACACAUUUUUCACUCUUGAAGUGUACCACAUCAGGAAGAACAGCUCCUACAUCACCCUCAAUGAGCAGCCUUGUAAAGAGCAAGCCUAUCUUCUUCUUAGUAUUGCUAUCCGACAUUAAUGGUUUUCCUAUUAGGCUCCCAAUCUUACUCAACC
rnacentral:lncRNA from 1 species